UUGAACGCUGGCGGCAGGCCUAACACAUGCAAGUCGAACGGUAACAGGAAGAAGCUUGCUUCUUUGCUGACGAGUGGCGGACGGGUGAGUAAUGUCUGGGAAACUGCCUGAUGGAGGGGGAUAACUACUGGAAACGGUAGCUAAUACCGCAUAACGUCGCAAGACCAAAGAGGGGGACCUUCGGGCCUCUUGCCAUCGGAUGUGCCCAGAUGGGAUUAGCUUGUUGGUGGGGUAACGGCUCACCAAGGCGACGAUCCCUAGCUGGUCUGAGAGGAUGACCAGCCACACUGGAACUGAGACACGGUCCAGACUCCUACGGGAGGCAGCAGUGGGGAAUAUUGCACAAUGGGCGCAAGCCUGAUGCAGCCAUGCCGCGUGUAUGAAGAAGGCCUUCGGGUUGUAAAGUACUUUCAGCGGGGAGGAAGGGAGUAAAGUUAAUACCUUUACUCAUUGACGUUACCCGCAGAAGAAGCACCGGCUAACUCCGUGCCAGCAGCCGCGGUAAUACGGAGGGUGCAAGCGUUAAUCGGAAUUACUGGGCGUAAAGCGCACGCAGGCGGUUUGUUAAGUCAGAUGUGAAAUCCCCGGGCUCAACCUGGGAACUGCAUCUGAUACUGGCAAGCUUGAGUCUCGUAGAGGGGGGUAGAAUUCCAGGUGUAGCGGUGAAAUGCGUAGAGAUCUGGAGGAAUACCGGUGGCGAAGGCGGCCCCCUGGACGAAGACUGACGCUCAGGUGCGAAAGCGUGGGGAGCAAACAGGAUUAGAUACCCUGGUAGUCCACGCCGUAAACGAUGUCGACUUGGAGGUUGUGCCCUUGAGGCGUGGCUUCCGGAGCUAACGCGUUAAGUCGACCGCCUGGGGAGUACGGCCGCAAGGUUAAAACUCAAAUGAAUUGACGGGGGCCCGCACAAGCGGUGGAGCAUGUGGUUUAAUUCGAUGCAACGCGAAGAACCUUACCUGGUCUUGACAUCCACAGAACUUUCCAGAGAUGGAUUGGUGCCUUCGGGAACUGUGAGACAGGUGCUGCAUGGCUGUCGUCAGCUCGUGUUGUGAAAUGUUGGGUUAAGUCCCGCAACGAGCGCAACCCUUAUCCUUUGUUGCCAGCGGUCCGGCCGGGAACUCAAAGGAGACUGCCAGUGAUAAACUGGAGGAAGGUGGGGAUGACGUCAAAUCAUCAUGCCCUUUAUGUCUUGGGCUACACACGUACUACAAUGGCUAUAACAAAGGGAAGCGAAGCCGCGAGGUGAAGCAAAACCCAAAAAAGUAGUCUCAGUUCGGAUUGAAGGCUGAAAUUCGCCUUCAUGAAGCCGGAAUUGCUAGUAAUGGCAGGUCAGCAUACUGCCGUGAAUACGUUCCCGGGCCUUGUACACACCGCCCGUCACACCAUGAGAGUUGGGAAUACCCGAAGCCUGUGAGCUAACUUUUAGAGGCAGCAGUCGAAGGUAGAAUCAAUGAUUGGGGUG
rnacentral:rRNA from 1 species